AACGAACGCUGGCGGCAGGCUUAACACAUGCAAGUCGAACGCUUGGGAGCGAUCCCUUGAGUGGCAGACGGGUGAGUAACGCGUGGGAACAUACCCUUCGGUACGGAACAACUUGGGGAAACUCGAGCUAAUACCGUAUGCGGCCUAUGGGCGAAAGAUUGUAUCGCCGAAGGAUUGGCCCGCGUCCGAUUAGCUAGUUGGUGGGUAACGGCCCACCAAGGCGACGAUCGGUAGCUGGUCUGAGAGGAUGGCCAGCCACAUUGGGACUGAGACACGGCCCAAACUCCUACGGGAGGCAGCAGUGGGGAAUAUUGGACAAUGGGCGCAAGCCUGAUCCAGCCAUGCCGCGUGAGUGAUGAAGGCCUUAGGGUUGUAAAGCUCUUUCGCACGCGACGAUAAUGACGGUAGCGUGAGAAGAAG
rnacentral:rRNA from 1 species